UGCUGAAGCAUGGGUGAUCAUGAACACUAGGAAACAACCUAGAGUGUAUAUAGAGAAGGCACAUCCAGCAAUGCCAAUUCAUCCUGGAAACUCCUCCUAGAGAAGCACAGUGUGCUCUUCUAAUUUGAAGGUGACUUGGAGGUCAUGGAAACCAACAAUAAAGCAAUACUAAACAAUAAAGAACUGGCUUGUCAGAGGAGCUACUCAGGUGCCCUCAGAUGUUGAGAAGUACCCCAUGGUCACAUUUGCACUGUGUGGAGUCCAGAAUUGGUGAUGUUUUCCAGAGUUCCAUAUCUCCACUGUCAUUAACUCAGUGUCUCCCAUGUUCCCUUCCUAAACUGGGACGCUAUGCCCUUUGCCUUGUGGAGGAGUGGGCCAGCUCCAUGGUUCUUGCCAGCUUACUCUAGGACUCUCCACUGAAGAAAUACUCAAGCCCUGAAUCAUCUCUCUGAAGAUAUUAUCAGCCACUGAUAGUUUUGUUGGAUUUCUUUUGAGGAGACCACACUUGGGGGCUAGCCAGUUUCCUUAUCUCCCAGCCUGGAGAAAAGGCUAAGUGCUUUCAAACAAUGCAUCACUGAAUGGCACCUCGUCAAUGUAGAUGAUAGUGUUGGACUGUUUCCUUAGUCCUGAGCUGGCUCAUCAUCCUGACAACUCUGAAUGUAAUGUAGACACCGCAUCAUGUUCCUGGCCCAGGAGACAAAGACGUGGGGGCUUUUGUUCUAAGUAUCAGUCUUCUGUGUAUUUAACAGUGUGGUACACACCAGUUGGGGAUUGUGUGUCACUCUCUACAAGAAACAAUGCCACCUGGGUUGUAGAAGGAGGAGAGGGAGAAGGGGGAAAAGGAGGUUAAGGAAGAAGAGGAGGAAAUAAUAAAGCAAUAGGGUUAAUACCAGCACCACUCUUUUGAACCCAAAGCUCAGCUCAGCACUUGCCAUGUUUUCUAUCAAGUUGCAAUAUAGGGAACAGAUGAUCUCCCAUGGGCCAAUACCGAGAUAGAGAAUUACCUAAAUCGCUCUCCAUUUAGAAAGUUCAAAAAUCAUUCUAAAUAAAAUGUAGAAUAUAA